rnacentral:rRNA from 1 species
CCUACGGGAGGCAGCAGUGAGGAAUAUUGGGCAAUGGACGAGAGUCUGAACCAGCCAAGUAGCGUGAAGGAUGACUGCCCUAGGGGUUGUAAGCUUCUUUUAUAUGGGAAUAAAAUGUUCCACGUGUGGGAUAGUGGAUUUACCAUAUGAAUAGGGAUCGGCUAACGCCGUGCCAGCAGCCGCGGUAAUACGGAGGAGCCGAGCGUUAUCCGGAUUGGUUGGGUUUAAAGGGAGCGUAGGUGGAGUGUUAAGUCAGUUGUGAAAGUUUGCGGCUCAACCGUAAAAUUGCAGUUGAAACUGGCAGUCUUGAGUACGGUAGAGGUGGGCGGAAUUCGUGGUGUAGCGGUGAAAUGCUUAGAUAUCACGAAGAACUCCGAUUGCGAAGGCAGCUCACUGGACUGCAACUGACACUGAGGCUCGAAAGUGUGGGUAUCAAACAGGAUUAGAUACCCCUGUAGUC